rnacentral:rRNA from 1 species
GAUGAACGCUGGCGGCGUGCCUAAUACAUGCAAGUCGAGCGAACAGACGAGGAGCUUGCUCCUCUGACGUUAGCGGCGGACGGGUGAGUAACACGUGGAUAACCUACCUAUAAGACUGGGAUAACUUCGGGAAACCGGAGCUAAUACCGGAUAAUAUAUUGAACCGCAUGGUUCAAUAGUCAAAGACGGUUUUGCUGUCACUUAUAGAUGGAUCCGCGCCGCAUUAGCUAGUUAGUAAGGUAACGGCUUACCAAGGCAACGAUGCGUAGCCGACCUGAGAGGGUGAUCGGCCACACUGGAACUGAGACACGGUCCAGACUCCUACGGGAGGCAGCAGUAGGGAAUCUUCCGCAAUGGGCGAAAGCUUGACGGAGCAACGCCGCGUGAGUGAUGAAGGUCUUCGGAUCGUAAAACUCUGUUAUUAGGGAAGAACAAAUGUGUAAGUAACUAUGCACGUCUUGACGGUACCUAAUCAGAAAGCCACGGCUAACUACGUG